rnacentral:rRNA from 1 species
GACGAACGCUGGCGGCGUGCUUAACACAUGCAAGUCGAACGGAAAGGCCCUGCUUGCAGGGUGCUCGAGUGGCGAACGGGUGAGUAACACGUGGGUGAUCUGCCCCUUACUUUGGGAUAAGCCUGGGAAACUGGGUCUAAUACUGGAUAGGACCAUGCUGUAGGUGGUGUGGUGGAAAGAUUAGUUUCGGUAAGGGAUGAGCUCGCGGCCUAUCAGCUUGUUGGUGGGGUAAUGGCCUACCAAGGCGUCGACGGGUAGCCGGCCUGAGAGGGUGGACGGCCACAUUGUGACUGAGAUACGGCCCAGACUCCUACGGGAGGCAGCAGUGGGGAAUAUUGCACAAUGGGCGCAAGCCUGAUGCAGCGACGCCGCGUGGGGGAUGACGGCCUUCGGGUUGUAAACUCCUUUCAGCCAUGACGAAGCCCUUGUGGUGACGGUAGUGGUAGAAGAAGCACCGGCUAACUACGUG